UUUUAUCAUUUAUUUCGGCUAUUUAUACAUAAUAAUUUUAUUUUUUUUUGUUAUUAAUUUUUGUUGCUACUAUUUCGUGCAGUUUUAUGUAAAACAUUUGCAGAAAUUGCAUGCAACCAAACAAACAAGUUGCAAGCUGAUUUCCCACAGGCGCAUAUACAUAUACAUAUAUAUAUCUAAUAUGCUUGUUUAUAAGAUGCAAUAUAACAACACGCAACUUGGCUAUACAUCAAACGAUGGCGGUUGGCAGCAGCACCUGUUGGCAUCAUUUCAAAUAGCUGUCCAUCAAAUUCAUUCUAUCUCCACUCUAUGUUCUUCUACAGCUCGUUUGCUGUCAACACAAAUCCAGUUCAACUAGAAGCGCUUCGACACCAACACAAACACCAACACCAGCAGCAAAAGCAACAGCAGCAGCAACAGUAACAGUAACAGCGCAAACAACAUGUGGCUAUCGGCUAUUGGCCGUUUGGCCAGUUGGUCUCUGUGCGCCUGCCUCAUCCUGGUUGCAUGUGUCGGCAGCAAUGCAGUCAAGCAUGCGGAAAUUGAUUAUUACAAGUUUAGAGUGAAAUUCUUCAAAUAUACUUUUUUGCCUCUAA